CAGUAGCCGCGGUAAUACGUAGGGCGCAAGCGUUAUCCGGAAUUAUUGGGCGUAAAGAGCUCGUAGGCGGUUUGUCGCGUCUGCCGUGAAAGUCCGGGGCUCAACCCCGGAUCUGCGGUGGGUACGGGCAGACUAGAGUGAUGUAGGGGAGACUGGAAUUCCUGGUGUAGCGGUGAAAUGCGCAGAUAUCAGGAGGAACACCGAUGGCGAAGGCAGGUCUCUGGGCAUUAACUGACGCUGAGGAGCGAAAGCAUGGGGAGCGAACAGGAUUAGAUACCCCGGUAGUCCCUGUCUCUUAUAC
rnacentral:rRNA from 1 species